rnacentral:rRNA from 1 species
GACGAACGCUGGCGGCGUGCUUAACACAUGCAAGUCGAACGGAAAGGCCCUGCUUUUGUGGGGUGCUCGAGUGGCGAACGGGUGAGUAACACGUGAGUAACCUGCCCUUGACUUUGGGAUAACUUCAGGAAACUGGGGCUAAUACCGGAUAGGAGCUCCUGCUGCAUGGUGGGGGUUGGAAAGUUUCGGCGGUUGGGGAUGGACUCGCGGCUUAUCAGCUUGUUGGUGGGGUAGUGGCUUACCAAGGCUUUGACGGGUAGCCGGCCUGGGAGGGUGACCGGCCACAUUGGGACUGAGAUACGGCCCAGACUCCUACGGGAGGCAGCAGUGGGGAAUAUUGCACAAUGGGCGGAAGCCUGAUGCAGCAACGCCGCGUGCGGGAUGACGGCCUUCGGGUUGUAACCCGCUUUCGCCUGUGACGAAGCGUGAGUGACGGUAAUGGGUAAAGAAGCACCGGCUAACUACGUG